GCGUGAGUGGUGUAACGGUAACAUGUGGUCUUCCCAUUUGAAGGUCUUCGCAUUCAUUUGGCUACGCCCCGGGUUCGACUCCCGGCUCACGCA